rnacentral:misc_RNA from 1 species
UUUCCGUAGGUGAACCUGCGGAAGGAUCAUUACUAACGUAUCCACGUAUAAACCAAAACAGUUGAAUUUGUUUCCAAUUCGUCCGUUAGGCUGGGAAUGGUUGUUGGACGGUAGUUCGUUCAAUGAUUUCGCGAUCAUUUACUUGUAAUUGAUUGUACCCUACCUAGUUCGCGAAUUUUUUACUAAACUAAAUUUUUAACCCAUUUCACCCAAUUUCAAUAUGAACUUAAACUGAUUUAGAAAGGAGACUUUCUGAAUUAAAAAAUACGAAAUUAAGAACAACUCUUAACAACGGAUAUCUUGGCUCUC